rnacentral:rRNA from 1 species
UUAUACAUGCAAGUCGAACGGGAUUUGAGUAGCAAUAUUCAAUGAGAGUGGCGCACGGGUGCGUAACGCGUAUGCAACCUACCUUUAACAGGGGGAUAGCCCGGAGAAAUCCGGAUUAAUACCCCAUAGUAUAUUUUUGUGGCCUCACAGAAAUAUUAAAGCUCCGGUGGUUAAAGAUGGGCAUGCGUGCCAUUAGCUAGUUGGUGAGGUAACGGCCCACCAAGGCGACGAUGGCUAGGGGUCCUGAGAGGGUUAUCCCCCACACUGGUACUGAGACACGGACCAGACUCCUACGGGAGGCAGCAGUAAGGAAUAUUGGGCAAUGGACGCAAGUCUGACCCAGCCAUGCCGCGUGCAGGAAGACGGCCUUAUGGGUUGUAAACUGCUUUUAUCAGGGAAUAAACCCUUGUUUGCGAACAAGGCUGAAGGUACCUGAAGAAUAAGCAUCGGCUAACUCCGUGCCAGCAGCCGCGGUAAUACGGAGGAUGCAAGCGUUAUCCGGAUUCAUUGGGUUUAAAGGGUGCGCAGGCGGGCUAAUAAGUCAGGGGUGAAAUACUACGGCUCAACCGUGGAACUGCCUUUGAUACUGUUAGUCUUGAGUUUAAUUGAAGUGGGCGGAAUGUAGCAUGUAGCGGUGAAAUGCAUAGAGAUGCUACAGAACACCGAUAGCGAAGGCAGCUCACUAAGUUACAACUGACGCUCAUGCACGAAAGCGUGGGGAUCAAACAGGAUUAGAUACCCUGGUAGUCCACGCUGUAAACGAUGAUCACUCGUUGUUGGCGAUACACAGUCAGCGGCUAAGCGAAAGUGAUAAGUGAUCCACCUGGGGAGUACGAUCGCAAGGUUGAAACUCAAAGGAAUUGACGGGGGCCCGCACAAGCGGUGGAGCAUGUGGUUUAAUUCGAUGAUACGCGAGGAACCUUUACUGGGCUC